rnacentral:rRNA from 1 species
CCAAGGAGUCUAACAUGUGUGCGAGUCACCGGGUCUUGCCUAGGCUCGGAGGCGAAAUGAAAGUGAAGGCCGAUCUGGGCGUCGGCUGCGGUGUGAUCCGUGUGUGCACUAUCCCGUCGAUCCCUUGUGGAAGGCGGGGCCACCGGCGCAACACCGGCCCGUCCCGUCCGCAGCGUCGGUGGGGCGGAGCGAGAGCAUACACGUUGGGACCCGAAAGAUGGUGAACUAUGCCUGGGCAGGACGAAGCCAGAGGAAACUCUGGUGGAGGUCCGCAGCGAUUCUGACGUGCAAAUCGAUCGUCAGACCUGGGUAUAGGGGCGAAAGACUAAUCGAACCAUCUAGUAGCUGGUUCCCUCCGAAGUUUCCCUCAGGAUAGCUGGCGCUCGAGGGAGGCAGUCUCAUCCGGUAAAGCGAAUGAUUAGAGGCCUUGGGGCCGAAACGACCUCAACCUAUUCUCAAACUUUCAAUGGGUGAGAAGUCCGGCUUGCUCGACUGAAGCCCGGACGUCCCAGGAUGCGAGUGCCCAGUGGGCCACUUUUGGUAAGCAGAACUGGCGCUGUGGGAUGAACCAAACGCUGGGUUAAGGCGCCCGAUGCGAGACGCUCAUCAGAUCCCAUGAAAGGUGUUGGUUGCUAUAGACAGCAGGACGGUGGCCAUGGAAGUCGGAAUCCGCUAAGGAGUGUGUAACAACUCACCUGCCGAAGCAACUAGCCCUGAAAAUGGAUGGCGCUGUAGCGUCGAGCCCAUACCCGGCCGCCCCGGCUGGGCACGGAAGCUUAUGCCGGGGUGAGUAGGAGGUGUCGCAGCGGCGUGCGUUGAAGGUGCCGGGCGUGGGCCCGCCUGGAGCCGCCGCUGGUGCAGAUCUUGGUGGUAGUAGCAAAUACUCAAGUGAGAACCUUGAGGACUGAGGUGGAGAAGGGUUCCAUGUGAACAGCAGUUGAACAUGGGUCAGUCGGUCCUAAGGGAUAGGAGAAAUCCGUUCCGAAGCGGGACCUGCGUGCGCCGUAAGGUCCCGUGGUCGACCGAAAGGGAAUCGGGUUAAUAUUCCCGAACCCGGAUGCGGAGAUCGGCCCUUCGGGGUCAACUGCGGUAACGCAACCAAACUCGGAGACGUCGAUCGGGGUCCCGGGAAGAGUUGUCUUUUCUUUGUAAGGGAUCGGCUCCCUGGAAUCGGCUCGCCCGGAGAUAGGGAUGCUGUUCCCGUAAAGCACCGCGGCUCUUGCGGUGUCCGGAGCGCUCCGGUCGGCCCUUGAAAAUCCGAGGGCGAGUGUGAUUUUCGUGCCGGACCGUACCCAUAUCCGCAGCAGGUCUCCAAGGUGAACAGCCUCUAGUCGAUGGA